UUGAUCAUUGAGAGGGUGAUCCGCUCUCCGGAGAGU
rnacentral:scRNA from 1 species